UUUUUGGAGGAGGUUGGCUGCCCUGCUUUCCAGUCUAUGUUUACACACCCCUUUUGUAUGUCACAGAAUGUCAUCAAUGGCUUUGCCUAGCAUAGCUAUAAAUUUAUACAACUUUCAACAAUGGAUCUCUUGGCUCUCGCAUCGAUGAAGAACGCAGCGAAACGCGAUAUGUAAUGUGAAUUGCAGAAUUCAGUGAAUCAUCGAAUCUUUGAACGCACCUUGCGCCCUUUGGUAUUCCAAAGGGCAUGCCUGUUUGAGUGUCAUUAAAUUAUCAACCUUUUCUUUUGUAAUGAUUGAUCAGGCUUGGAUGUGGGGGCUGCGGGUCUCUCAGAGAUCGGCUCCCCUUAAAUGCAUUAGUGGAACCCUUUGUGGAUCAUUAUUGGCGUGAUAAUUAUCUAUCCCAGUGAUYGUGAAGCAAGCCUAACAAGCACCAGGGUUUGGCUUAUAACCGUCCCUCUCUGGGACAAAUCUUCAUUUUAAUGUGACCU
rnacentral:rRNA from 1 species